UCAAGGUUCACUCCUGUUAUAGCAUGAGUCAGUUCUUUAUUCAUUUUUAUGGCUACAUAAUUCUCCAUUUUGUUCAUCCAUUCCUCGGUUGGUAGACAUUUUGGUUAUUUCCAGUUAUGCUCUUCCUGACCAAUGUGUGAACUCAGCUAACAUGAAGCUCCAGAACCAGUGGUAAUAUCACACUAUGAAGAUACCCCAGGGUGUCCAGUGCUGGAAGUGUGACUUGUGGAGGAGAAACACUUUGAAUUAUAGAGUCAGAAGCUAUCAUGUCAGAGGAAUGACUACCUUUAUCAAUUCUCCAUGUAGAAGUGAUGUAACAAAACUGUUGUCAAAUGAAGGUAUUAUAUUUGGUAUUUGCAUCCCAAAUAUGUAGAAAGACAUAUAGAGGUGUAUCAGUAGCUAGUUAAUUAAAAUAUCUUUUUUGGGGGGGAUAUUUUUUGUUAAUUAUCAAUUUUUUCAAAACAUAUGCUUUGUGGUUUAUUUUCUCAUUUUAAAUAAACACUUUUAAAUUUGAGUUUAUAUUUGUAAUUUGGCAUUUCUUUUCUUAAAGGCCCUAAAUCAUAUAUACAAGCCCCUCAAAAUAAGGAUCCACCCUGCUCUGAAGUGAUACUUUUAACUCCCCUGCUUUUUUUUUUUUUUUUAAGUUUAUUUAUUUGGGGUGGGAGGGGCAGAGAGAGAAGGAGAAAGAGAAUUCCAAGCAGGCUCUGCACCGACAGCUCAUAGCCUGUCACGGGGCUCGAACUCACAAACUGCGAGAUCAUGACCUAAACCACAGCCAAGAGUCUGAAGGUUAAGGACUGAGCCACCUAGCCCCACCCCCACCCCCCUUUUUUUUUUUUGGUAGUACUACUUAGCGGUGGCCAGGUGCUUGUGUGAGAUUUCCUCCCAGGGAAUUAUACAGCAAGUUGCUCAUUUUGUUGCUUUCCACCUUCUCAUUGUCCAUUCUUUCCUUUUUCAGCUCGGGAACACUUUCAAGAAAAACUAGCUCAAGCAAUACCUUAUUACCUCAUUAAAUAUGCGAUACCUUGAAGAGCUGCUGUGAUUGAUUAAAUACCGUUCAGCAAAUAUUUCCCUCUAGGCUCCCCUUCCCUGUGGGACAGAGUCUACUUCCCCUCCAUUCCCGGGUUCCCACCGUGGGCUUGGCCAUGUGACUUGCUUUGGCCAAUGGGAUGUGGACAGAAGUCCACGUGACACUUCUGAGCCCCAGAAGCCGCUUUAGAUCAUGUUCUGGGAGCCAGAGGUCCUUCAGCGUGGGUCCCGCAAAAAGUCACUGGUAGCAACCUAAAUCCUGAACCCGAAGCUCAGCCCAAGGAGGAGCUGCUGCCGCUGACCUGCAGACCUUUAUCCUGCCGGCUUGAAAUUCCUCUUGAGACAGGAUUUGUCUAGAACCUACUGUCCUGAAUCCAAAUCAUUUGUUUAACUUACAGAAGCAUGUAACCAAAAUGGAAAUCAAGUACCGUGGACCUGGACGGUGGGGGCCUGAAUUAAAAUCACUCAAGACAGGAAGAAUUUGACAUGGUCAAUCAGACUUCAGAGCCAAGGCAGGAGGAGAAGACGAAUUUCUCCAUGUCCAGCAACAUUCCAGCCAGUGAGAAACUGCUUCACUCAGCUAGAGUAAAGCCGUGACCUGAACUCUUGGAAGCAGUCACUCCUGACUUCCUUCUUUC